UAGGGAAUCUUCGGCAAUGGACGAAAGUCUGACCGAGCAACGCUGCGUGAGUGAAGAAGGUUUUCGGAUCGUAAAACUCUGUUGUUAGAGAAGAACAAGGACGUUAGUAACUGAACGUCCCCUGACGGUAUCUAACCAGAAAGCCACGGCUAACUACGUGCCAGCAGCCGCGGUAAUACGUAGGUGGCAAGCGUUGUCCGGAUUUAUUGGGCGUAAAGCGAGCGCAGGCGGUUUCUUAAGUCUGAUGUGAAAGCCCCCGGCUCAACCGGGGAGGGUCAUUGGAAACUGGGAGACUUGAGUGCAGAAGAGGAGAGUGGAAUUCCAUGUGUAGCGGUGAAAUGCGUAGAUAUAUGGAGGAACACCAGUGGCGAAGGCGGCUCUCUGGUCUGUACCUGACGCUGAGGCUCGAAAGCGUGGGGAGCAAACAGG
rnacentral:rRNA from 1 species